rnacentral:rRNA from 1 species
UUGGAUAAAAUAAAAAACAUAAUUUUUAAUAAUUUAUGUACAUUAAAAAUAUUAAAAAAUGCACUAAGUGACUGCCUAAAUGUUAAAAAUCGGACGUUUAAUCACGACAUUUAAAAGUGAGUAAUACUUAUUGCUGAGAUCUUUUAAAAUCCGUUAUCAGAAAACUGAUCUUUUAUUGAUUUUCCAAAAAUUAGUGAAUUGAAACAUCUUAUUAACUAAUUAAAAAAUCAACCGAGAAACCGAAAGUAGUGGCGAACGAAAUCGGUCAUAAGACUUAUCCGUAUAUGGACAUUUAAAAUUAAAUUUAAAAAUGCCAAAGAAGGUUUUAGCCCUGUAAGUUUUAAAAAUAAAAACAUAUAUGUUUUUUUAAAAUAAAACUUUAUAUUUGUAAGGUUUGAAUAAUGAGGAACCACCCUCAAAGUCUUUAAAAUUUUUAACAAUUGAUAGUGUACUAGUACUUUGAAGGAAAGGUGAAAUAGAGCUUUAGAGCGUUAACUCCCUAAAACUUAGUGUAAACAAUCAGUUGCAGCUCAAGCAAAAGAGCAGCAGCGUACCUUUUGUAUAAUGGGUCAACUAGUUUAAAUUAUAAGCGAGCUUAAGUUUUUAAAAGACGUAGGCGUAAAAAAUAUGAGUAUUAAAUUGCUUUUUAGUUUAUAAUAUAAAACCCGAAACUAUGUGAUCUAACUAUGAACAGGCUGAUUUUUAAGCGGGAACGCUUUUAGGAGGGCCGAACUCGUGUAUGUAGAAAAAUACUGAGAUGAUUUGUAGUUAGGGGUGAAAGGCCAAUCAAACAUAGAGAUAGCUGGUUUUCUGCGAAAUCUAUUUAAGUAGAGUGUUUAAAAAACUUUAAACGAGGUAGAGCACUUUUAAAAUAAUGGGGAUUUAGUAGUCUUACAAAAUUUUAAAAAACUCCGAAUACGUUUUUAAAUGAUUUUAAGCAAACAGACUAUGGAUGAUAAGAUCCUUAUUUGUCGAAAGGGAAACAGCCCAGACUAUUAGUUAAGGUCCUUAAAAAAAUUUAAGUGAAAAAUUUGUAAAAAAAAAAACAGUUAGUAGGUAGGCUUGGAAGCAGCCAUCCUUAAAAGAAAGCGUAACAGCUCACUAAUAUACUUUUUUUUGCAUAGAAAAUGUAUAGGGACUUAAAAUUUUUUACCGAAACUAUAGAUUUAUAUAGACGUAUGUUUUUAUAAAAUGGUAGCAGAACAUUCUGUAAGCUAUUGAAGAUUUGUAGUAAUAUAAGUUAGAAGUAUCAGAAUUGAGAAUGUUGACAUGAGUAACGAUAACAAUGAAAUAUAACAUUGUCACCUUUUGUUUAAGGUUUUUAAGUAAAAGUUAAUCUUGCUUAUUGUAUAAUCGGUCUCUAAGAAUUAAAACGAAAGUUUUAUUUAAUGAGUAAACUUUUUUAUAAAGUAUAAUUAAAAUUUUUUUAAAAAUAAAGUGACAAAAUAUAAAUUUAAUUUUUAUUAACGGGGCUUAAUAAAUGUUUUUUAAUAUUUUCAAGAAAUAGCUUUAUUAUUUAUUUUUUAAAACCGUACCUUAAUCCGACUCAGGUAAACAAAUUUAGUAAAUUAAGGUGAUUGAAAUAAUUAUUUUUAAGGAACUCGGCAAAAUGACUCUGUAUCUUCGGUAUAAAGAGUAGCUUUUUAAGGGUAACCUUUUUAAGCUGUCACAAAAUCGGGGACAGCGACUGUUUAUUAAAAACACAGGUCUCUGCUAAUUUGCAAAAUGAUGUAUAGAGACUGACGCCUGCCCGGUACUGUAAGUUGAAAAAAAAAAGUUCUGGCUUUUUUUAUAAGUCUCAGUAAACGGCGGCUGUAACUCUGACGGUCCUAAGGUAGCGAAAUUCCUUGGUAUUUAAUUGGUGUCCUGCAUGAAUGGCGUAACGACUGUCCUACUGUCUUAAAAAUAAUUUCAGUGAAAUUGAAAUUUUCGUGAAGAUGCGAAAUUCUUGCAGGUAGACGGAAAGACCCCGUGCACCUUUACUAUAGUUAUAUAUUGCAAAUUUGAAUAAAAUGUAUAGAAUAUGUGGUAAAUUAAAAUAGUUUUCUAAAAAAUUUACUAUAGUAAUUAGUUAUGAAAUACCACACUUAUUAUUUAAAUGAGCUAAUAAAAGACAUUGUAUAAUGGGUAGUUUGACUGGGGCGGUCACCUCCUAAAAAGUAACGGAGGUGUGCUAUAGGUAAGCUCAAGUUCAAAAGCUUUAGAGAAUAAUAUUAAAUUGCUUGCUUGACUGUAAGAUUGACAAAUCAAACAGGGACGAAAGUCGGUUAUAGUGAUCCGAUGAUUCUUUGUGGAAAGAUCAUCGCUCAACGAAUAAAAGGUACGCCGGGGAUAACAGGCUAAUCACUUUUUAGAGACCUUAUCGAUGAAGUGGUUUGGCACCUCGAUGUUGGAUUAUCACAUCCUGGAGCUGCAAAAGGUUCCAAGGGUUUGGUUGUUCGCCAAAUAACGUGGUACAUGAUCUGAGUUUAGAACGUCGUGAGACAGUUUGGUCCCUAUCUUCUGUGAGUAAAAGAAAAUUGAAAGAAUUAAACUUUAGUACGAGAGGACCAAGAAAAAUAAAUCAAUGGUGUUUCGAUUGUCUUUCCAAAGGCAUAGUCGAGUAGCUACAUUUAUAUUAAAUAAAUACUGAAAACAUUUAAGUAUGAAUUUAUUCUUAAAACAAAUUUUCUAAAAACCGUAAAAGAUUAUUACGUUAAUAGGUUUAAUGUGUAAAAACUGCAAAGUUAAAAGCUAAUAAAUAACUAAGCUAAUAAAAUUUUAUUGAUAUAUUUAAUUACAAAAAAAUUUGAAAUUCAAUUUAUAUAAUCUAUAUAAAAGUAACCUGACUUAUUAGAUCUAUGUCAAGAGUUUAG